CCUACGGGAGACUGCAGUGGGGAAUAUUGGGCAAUGGUCGCAAGCCUGACCCAGCAACGCCGCGUGAAGGAAGAAGGCUUUCUGGUUGUAAACUUCUUUUUUCAGGGAAGUGUAGCACACGGUACCUGACGAAUUAUCCACGGCUCACUACUUGCCAUCAGCCGCGUCAAUACGGAGGUUGCAAGCGUUGUCCGGAUUUCCUGGGUGUAAAGGGCGUGUAGCCGGGUUGACAAGUCAGAUGUGAAAGCCUGCGGCUUAACCGCAGAACUGCAGUUGAAACUGUUGGUCUUGAGUACUGGAGAGGCAGACGGAAUUCCUGGUGUAGCGGUGAAAUGCGUAGAUAUUAGGAGGAACACCAGUGGCGAAGGCGGUAUGCUGGACAGCAACUGACGGUGAGGCGCGAAAGCGUGGGUAGCAAACAGGAUUAGAUACCCCUGUAGUC
rnacentral:rRNA from 1 species